CUGAGGGGUAACUGGUGGUGGUUUCCCCCGUAAUCCCCGUACUUCCUGAUUGCCUGAAAAUGGCCUUUUGAUCUUUGCUCUUCCGGUCCCUGCAGUGGUGGUGUCAGCCUCUGACUCCCUUGCAUUAGAGUCCUUUCAGGCAUUACCUGAAACACAUAGAGGAGCUCCUCUUUUCCUGGCUGAGGCAACAAGAGCUCUGUCUGUGGCAUCAGUACAACCUUCAUGGCAGAGCUGUCUCUCUGGGCACCUCCUAUUCCUGUCACCCCACCUCUGCUCCCUCGUCCCUCUGAUGUACCCUGUGAGGCAUACUGCGAUCUCCCGAAGACUCUAAACCAACCCCCCAAAUUGUGCCCUGGAAAACCAGACCAUUCAUAAGAGUAAGAAAAGGCAGACAGCAGAGUGAGCAAGAGGCAGAGAGAAGGAAAGGGGAAGAAGAUUAAAAGCAGGGUGAUUAAGGGAGAUGAUGAUGAGCACAGUAGACGGCUGGAGAAAGAUGCAGAAAAGAGAACAAAGCUGAGACCUUCCCUUGCCAGAUAUGCAUGUGUGGGUUCAGGGGCCCGCACUCUUAUCCAGAGUUGGUUUCAUGUCAGGUGCCAAGGUAAGGACGUCAUGUGCUUCAUCUCUCACCUGGAUCACUACAGUAGUUUCCUAACCGGUUUCCCUGCUUCCACCCUCGCCGUCCUGUCUGUUCCCAACCCAGCAGCUGGAGUGAUCCCAUUCAGAUGUGAGUCAGAGCACGCCACUCCUCUGCUCUCACACUCUCUGACCUCAUUUACCUCCACUCUGUCCACACCCUCAGUCCAGCCAGACUCACUGUUCCUCCAACAUACUAGGUCUGCUCCUGCCUCAGGGUCUCUGCUCAGGCUGUUCCCUCUGCCUGGAAGGAAUUCCCGGGGAUGUCCACCUGCCGCUGUCUUACAUCCGCUGAGUCACUGCUUCAUACAGGCUCUUCUGGUCACUCCAUCUAACCCCUCCCACCUCUCCUUAGCCCCUUUCCUUUCUGACAUAAGAUAUAAUCUAGUUGUUUAUUUUUGUUGUCUAUCUUCUACUAGAAUGUAAGCUCCAUAUAAAGACAGAGAUUUUUGUUUGUUCACUGCCUGGCACAUAGUAGGAACAUACUAAGUGUUUGUUGAAAGAAUGACCUCGUGAGGUAGGUACUAUUAUUAAUAAGCACAUUCUAUAGAAGGUAAAACUUGGACUCACCAGUGUAAAGCAACUGCCCAAGAUCACAUGGUGAAGUGAAAGAGCAAGUGUUGAACCCAGUCAUGUCUGUUCAAAAGCCUGUGCUCAUCAACACGUCACUGGAAUAUGCUCUUCCUCUUGCUGCGAGCUGCUGAGCUCAGUAGGAGGAAACUGUUUCUCACGUCAGCCUUUCCUUCUGGUUAACCAGACCACUAGGCUUUCAGCUGGCCUUCCUGAGCUGCGAGGUGGAACAUGGCACGAUAGCAGCCGUCUUGCUAAGGGAGCUUGCCUGAGGAUAAGACUAACAUGCUACAAUGCAAGGGUAGGAAGACGGAAGGAAUGUGAAUCCUUGGUGAUGUUGCUGAGCUGCUGAAUCAACUGACCAUGGGACUACCCUACUCAAGACUUCUCGUUCUAUAACAUACCACAUUUUCCUUAUUGCUCAAGUCAGCUGGGUCAGCAUUUUCUGUUACUUAGACCUGAAGGCUUCCUGAUACACUUGCCUAUGUCCAUUAACAUGGAUGUCAAAGAGUCUCAGCUGGUGGUCAUAGGUCUGUUUUUGUUUGAC
ensembl:lncRNA